rnacentral:rRNA from 1 species
GAUGAACGUUGGCGGCGUGCCUAACACAUGCAAGUCGAACGCUAGUAGCAAUAUUAGAGUGGCGCACGGGUGAGUAACACGUAGCUUAUCUACCUCCCAGCGCGGGAUAACGGUUCGAAAGAACUGCUAAUACCGCAUAAGCUCACGAGCUAUAGAGGCUGGUGAGAAAAGGCUUAGGUCACUGGGGAGCGGGGCGUGCGGCCC